rnacentral:rRNA from 1 species
AACUAGGCAAAAUAGAACCGUAACUUCGGGAGAAGGUUCGCUCUUGACAGUGAAGUCCCUUGCGGAUGGAGCAGUUGGGAGUCGCAGUGACCAGAUGGCUGAGACUGUUUAUCAAAAACACAGCACUCUGCAAACACGAAAGUGGACGUAUAGGGUGUGACACCUGCCCGGUGCCGGAAGGUUAAUUGAUGGGGUUAGCGCAAGCGAAGCUCUUGAUCGAAGCCCCGGUAAACGGCGGCCGUAACGAUAACGGUCCUAAGGUAGCGAAAUUCCUUGUCGGGUAAGUUCCGACCUGCACGAAUGGUGUAACCAUGGCCAUGCUGUCUCCACCCGAGACUCAGUGAAAUCGAAUUCGCCGUGAAGAUGCGGUGUACCCGCGGCUAGACGGAAAGACCCCGUGAACCUUUACUACAGCUUGGCACUGAACAUUGAACCUACAUGUGUAGGAUAGGCGGGAGGCUUUGAAGGCGUGACGCCAGUUGCGCUGGAGCCGUCCUUGAAAUACCACCCUUGUAUGUUUGAUGUUCUAACGCAGGGCCCUAAAUCGGGCUCGCGGACAGUGCCUGGUGGGUAGUUUGACUGGGGCGGUCUCCUCCCAAAGAGUAACGGAGGAGCACGAAGGUUGGCUAAUCCUGGUCGGACAUCAGGAGGUUAGUGCAAUGGCAUAAGCCAGCUUAACUGCGAGACGGACAGGUCGAGCAGGUACGAAAGUAGGUCAUAGUGAUCCGGUGGUUCUGAAUGGAAGGGCCAUCGCUCAACGGAUAAAAGGUACUCCGGGGAUAACAGGCUGAUACCGCCCAAGAGUUCAUAUCGACGGCGGUGUUUGGCACCUCGAUGUCGGCUCACCACAUCCUGGGGCUGAAGUCGGUCCCAAGGGUAUGGCUGUUCGCCAUUUAAAGUGGUACGCGAGCUGGGUUCAGAACGUCGUGAGACAGUUCGGUCCCUAUCUGCCGUGGGCGUUGGAUGAUUGAAGGGAGUUGCUCCUAGUACGAGAGGACCGGAGUGAACGAACCUCUGGUGUUCGGGUUGUCACGCCAGUGGCACUGCCCGGUAGCUAAGUUCGGAAUCGAUAACCGCUGAAAGCAUCUAAGCGGGAAGCGAGCCCUGAGAUGAGUCAUCCCUGACCCCUUGAGGGUCCUAAAGGGCCGUUGGAGACCACAACGUUGAUAGGUGGGGUGUGUAAGCGCGGCGACGUGUUGAGCUAACCCAUACUAAUUACCCGUGAGGCUUAAUC